GUGCCGGUUAGCUCAGUCAGUUGGAGCAUGGUGCUGAUAACACCAAAGUCGUGGGUUCGAUCCCCAUUCGGUCCC
rfam:Apaloderma vittatum contig53210, whole genome shotgun sequence.